AGGAAAGAGGGACCAGGAGGUUCGGGGGAUGAGCGGGCUGCUCUAGUCCUAGCUCACCAUGCUCAGAGGCCAUGGCUUGUAAACUGGCCGGUGUCAAGCAAAUUACAAGGGUACAGCAGCAGUCUACACCCUCGCCUGUGGACUAGGAGCCAGGGGGAAGCAAUGACAAGACUGGGUGCCUAGAGCUGGCAGGAAGCUAUGGGGCUAUGACAGGGUCUCAGGCCAGAAGCGGUGGCAGUGGUGAGCCAGUACAGGCCACCUGGGGAGCACCGAGACUGGGGGAGCGGGAUGGCUAAGACAGCGAGCGGAGGGGAUGAGCAUGAACUCAAAGCUGUGCUAAGAGGGUGGGAGUGGGAUGGCUAAGACAAGUUGUUGCCAGCUUCAGGGGGCGGGGCCGAGCCCGGCCCAUCUGCCACCUGUCCUCCCCCCUGCAGUCACUGCUGCUUCUCUGACCUUCGGGGCCGGAACCUCCGUGGGCCUGUCGAUUUCCUCGUAGCCACAGCUGCGGUGAAGCCCACCAGGCAGCACAGGGACGUGGUACUGAACUUGAGUGUGUCUAGCCAGCCGGGUGAGGCAGCCUGUAGAUAAUGCUCUGCCAGGUGCAGCCCCAGCAGCAGGGCCCAGAGGCAGGUGGAGAAGGCAUCGAUCCGCCGGAGCCUGUGGGAGAGAGCAAGGCAUGUGUGAGGUGACUGGGCCCAGCCGCAGAUGCCAGCAGCAACCGGCUCAGUGUCACUGUCAUCUGUACUUCUGCGCUGUCCUCCUGGCCCCUGGAGAACUUGAACAGGCCUGUCUAGAGUUCAGCCCAGAGUAGGGGACCACCAAGGAGGCAGCAAUGCUUUGUGCAGACUUCUGCC
rnacentral:lncRNA from 1 species